rnacentral:rRNA from 1 species
AUUGAACGCUGGCGGCAGGCCUAACACAUGCAAGUCGAGCGGUAGAGAGAAGCUUGCUUCUCUUGAGAGCGGCGGACGGGUGAGUAAUGCCUAGGCAUCUGCCUGGUAGUGGGGAUAACGUUCGGAAACGGACGCUAAUACCGCAUACGUCCUACGGGAGAAAGCAGGGGACCUUCGGGCCUUGCGCUAUCAGAUGGGCCUAGGUCGGAUUAGCUAGUUGGUGAGGUAAUGGCUCACCAAGGCGACGAUCCGUAACUGGUCUGAGAGGAUGAUCAGUCACACUGGAACUGAGACACGGUCCAGACUCCUACGGGAGGCAGCAGUGGGGAAUAUUGGACAAUGGGCGAAAGCCUGAUCCAGCCAUGCCGCGUGUGUGAAGAAGGUCUUCGGAUUGUAAAGCUCUUUAAGUUGGGAGGAAGGGUUGUAGAUUAAUACUCUGCAAUUUUGACGUUACCGACAGAAUAAGCACCGGCUAACUCUGUGCCAGCCGCCGCCGUAA